rnacentral:rRNA from 1 species
GACGAACGCUGGCGGCGUGCUUAACACAUGCCAGUCGUACGGUAAGGCCCUUUCGGGGGUACACGAGUGGCGAACGGGUGAGUAACACGUGAGUAACCUGCCCACAACUUUGGGAUAACGCUAGGAAACUGGUGCUAAUACUGGAUAUGUGCUCCUGCUGCAUGGUGGGGGUUGGAAAGCUCCGGCGGUUGUGGAUGGACUCGCGGCCUAUCAGCUUGUUGGUGGGGUAGUGGCCUACCAAGGCGGCGACUGGUAGCCGGCCUGAGAGGGUGACCGGCCACAUUGGGACUGAGAUACGGCCCAGACUCCUACGGGAGGCAGCAGUGGGGAAUAUUGCACAAUGGGCGCAAGCCUGAUGCAGCAACGCCGCGUGCGGGAUGACGGCCUUCGGGUUGUAAACCGCUUUCAGCAGGGACGAAGCUUUUUGUGACGGUACCUGCAGAAGAAGCACCGGCUAACUACGUG